GUGGGGGAGCAAGGCUCAUGCGUUGUCUCCAUUCGCCCCCUAAUGGUGAGCCUGAAAGCCAAAACGGAGGACGUGAACAGUGUGACAGCGACAAAACAAUGUGUGUGAAUGUGCUGAAUGCUGCUGAACUGUACAGAGGUUGCAAAAUGUUGGGAUGGGACUGAAGAAAGAGGACAUUCCCCAGAGGUCCUGGACCUGGAGUAUUGUGCUGUCUGGUACGGGGAUCUGAACCCUUGACGUUGGUGUUAUAACAUCGCACUCUAACCAACUGAGCUAACCGGCCAGCCCCUUCUCUGGACAUUUUUAUCAGCAGUGACAGCAAAGAGGAUGCUUUUGCUCUACCACCUUUGAUAUUUCAACUAUUCUUCAGGAGAGGUCUUUAUGAACAGAACAAAAAGAAGCUGUCCUUUGCCCUGGGAACAUAAUUAUGUUGACAUAAUUAAAAGACAA